UGAGCGGCUGGCUCCUGGCUGAGCGGAGGCCACCGGGCGAACGGCGCCGAGGUGCAGGAUAGUUGUGUCCACCGCGGAAGACACCUCCGGAUGAUGCCGGCUGGGAGGAAGCACCUGGAGAAAGCUGAGAAGGCCUCGAGGGAGGCUGAGGACAUGGCAGCCUGUGACCCUGGCAUGCAAGAGUGGAGAGAGCUCAUGGGGCUAGAGGAGGGCCCCGAAGGACCCCACGCACGCACUGUGUCUGCACUCUGGUGCGGAUGGCUAGGGCUGGCUAUGUAGCAGUCCUGGUCUCCCUCUCUCUUCCCGCUCCGACUCCUCUCCUCCCACCGGGAGCUGGGGUGAGGUGCGCUUGGGUCCCGCCGGGCCGCGGCUUGUAUCUUACCCCCUUCGCUAGGCGCUGGGUUCUCACAGGUGUGGAUGUAGUCUGGCUUUUGUCCUGUGUC